CUUCACCUUCCUUGGAUUUCCAUAGUCUCUGUAUCCUCCUAGAAGACACAUUCAUCCUAAAUUGACUUGGUUUAUUCAGAGAUGAGGUAACUGAGGCACAGAGAAGUGCAGUGAGCAGACACGUGGCAUCUCGGUCCAUCCUCUGCAUGCUAAAGCUGGAAAUCUGUUCUACGGCUCCUGGAUAAAGAGUCCCCCAGUGUUGGCUUCCUCUACCUACUUCUUACACCAACAGUCCUUCCCCGGAAGCUGAACGGGACAGAAGCAGGGAGGAGAGAAGCAGC